rnacentral:lncRNA from 9 species
AUGGGAUCAGAAAGCACUACUGGACUCUCGGACAGACAGACCUCCCCGCGGCAUAGAGACCAUUUUCUGAUCUCCAGUGCUCUUGUCCAUUUUGAUUUCUGGUGGUUGAGACUGGAGCCUUGGACUUCUUGUGAAAAGUAUGUGCUGGAAUGGAACACCUUGCGAGCUCCUUGUUUUGAACUGCAGUGCUGCAACUUGGAUAGGAUAUGUUUCAUCACUGAAGACCAGACCACUCACUCAGGACCCUAAGUAUACACCUUUGGAGACUUAGUCUUCACCCCUGAAUGAAUGAUACAUUGAUGUGACUGGCUUCACGCAGGACACGGAGAACAGCAUUGCUGGGGACAUAUCCUGACAAGUGGUGACCUGGAUGUGACCAAAGUCCGAUGUGACCAAAGCCCAACGUGACCAAAGUCUGACGUGAUAGAAGUUCGAGUCUACACAACGAAGUGGCAACCACAGAAUAAGGAAAAAACAGAGUGCGCCAGGAGACUCAAGGAUCCCAACUGAAUG